rnacentral:misc_RNA from 1 species
UUUCCGUAGGUGAACCUGCGGAAGGAUCAUUAUUGUAUAACCGAGGUGCGAGGGCUGUCGCUGACCCGAAAGGUCGUGCACGCCCGAGUGCCCUCACACACAUCCAUCUCACCCCUAUGUGCACCACCGCGUGGGUCCCCCUUUGGCUUGUUCGGAGGGGGGCUUACGCUUUCACACAAACUUUGAAUGCAGUGUAGAAUGUAUUUUUUGUUUUUGCGAUCACGCAAUCAAUACAACUUUCAACAACGGAUCUCUUGGCUCUC